UUUGGGAAUUGGUCAAUUGUUUUCCGAAUUAGGGCUUGCUUCAAGUGUUCUAAUUGAUCCUGUGUCAAUUUCAUCAGGUCAUCAGAUAUUCUACUUGGUUGGAU